AUUUAAGUAGUUUAAAUAAAAUAUUGAUUUGUGAUAUCAAAGAUAUAAAUUUUUAUCUUAAAUA
rnacentral:tRNA from 1 species